UUGCCGUUCUGAAAAAUUCAAGAAACGUCUUCAAAGUAGUUAGUAAGUUUGCUUGACAUUUGUAAAACAUUCCCUCCACAGCUCAAAGGCCUCAACUUUCUGGAAAGCCCCUCCGUUUUCCAUUAUUCAUCUUCCUUCCAAACUCCGCAACUUCUUCUCCAGCCACUUCAAUGGAAGAAGAAGCUUCUUCAAGUAGCGUGGCAUCAUCAUCAUCAUCCCAAGUACAAGCUUCAUUAGAUGAUUGUUUGAAGCUACUCAGAGGAGAAAGGGACGAGCAGAGGUUAGCGGGUCUACUUCUAGUUACCAAAUUUUGCAAUAAAGAUGACCACACCGCCAUUCUCAAGGUUUACGAUGCCGUUGGACCUCAAUUCCUCCACCGCCUUCUUAGAACUGGAACGGGGAAAGGAGGUGAUGGCGGGAAUCGUGAUGCCUACUUGCAGUUGUCAAUCACAGUUCUUGCAGCAUUUUGUAGAGUUCCCGAGAUUGCAGCUUCGGAAGAUAUGGUUACUAAGAUUCCUCUCAUUGUAGAGACAAUGUCCCGAGAAGCAGGAUCACCUAUCAUUGAAGAAUGCUAUGAAUUUUUGUUUUUGGUCUCAACGGCCAACGAAGAAGGGGUUAAAACCUUGUUCAAAUCUGGUGGCUUGAAUGUGCUCGCUUCGCAAAUGAUGAUUCUACCAGAUGGUUGUCAUAUGAUUGAACUUGCUAUGAGACUUGUGCAAAUCAUUGUUAUUAAGCUACCCUCAGAAAAUGUUUAUUCUGAGCAUUCAACUGAUCUGUCAAUGGUGGUGGCUGCAGUGGCAAAGCAGUUUGUUGUACUGCAAAAUGCACUGAAGUUUGAAGCGCUUCACCUCCUAUCAGCUAUCCUGUCCAACGGAUAUUCUGCACCUGUAUAUGAUGCUCUUCGGUUAAUGGAAAAUGACGUUUGGUCAACAAACCUGCGGAUUGGUAUUGUGGCUAUCUUGCAAAAUCGAGUUGCACCUUCACAUAAGCUUCAGGCUCUUGUUCUGGCUGAGUGUGUCAUAUCAAUUGUUGGUGAAGGUUGGCUUAUUGGGGAGAUGAACUCAACUGAUUCUCAGGAUUCCCUGCCUGCUGACAGGUGUAUUCUGCUUGUUUUGGAGUCAUCAAGGGUUGAAAUUGCUGUUCUUCUAAAUGACCUAGCAUACUUGAAAUAUGAAGCCUCCAAGGCGUCCUCAAAUACAGAGAACAUUCUCGUGAAGCAGAGGAAUCUUGGAGUAGCACUCUCUUUGGUUGAAAAGAUAAUUAAACUUAUUUCUAGUUUUGCUGGAGAAGAGUCAACUGUCAAUGUUGUUAUCAGUGAGCGCACUUUCACAAAAAUCAUUUCGGGGCUCAAUGAGACAAUUGGUGUUGUUUUGGACUAUCUACGAGAUACUAAGGAGCAUGGACAGAUGAAAGGGGAUGACCUUCUAGCGGCUGUUCGACUAAUCGGAAGUUAUCUUGCAGAAGUACCAGAUGCAUGUAAAGAUAAGGUCACAGAACUCCUAGGCUAUUUGCUUUCAAUUGAAGGGGAAGAUGAAUUGAGUCCUUUUUAUUCCAUCUGUUUUCUGCUUCCGAUGCUGUGUCAAAUAACUCUCAAGACUGGAGGAUGUAAAAUUUUAGCUUCCUCAGGUGCAUUUAGAGAAGUUGUCGGUUGCCUUAUUGCUUUGAUUGACCAAAACAAUUAUACAUCUGAGGAUAAUGGUUCUAUAUUCUUGGCUUGCAAUACACUUUUGAAUCUUCUUCUAAAGCGGGAGCAAACUAAAUUUCCUUCAGAUGAUCCCAGUUUUAUCAGACUUUUAGUAGCAUUGUCACAUUGGGCAGAGGGUACGGACGAGGCAUCUAUUAUCAUGAUGGCAUCAAGCAUCUGUUCACUUAUACUUGAUUUGACAUCAGAGGAAGCUCUUCUAAAUCAUCCGGACUUCACUAGUGGCAAUAUUGGUAGUCUGUCGAAGCUCAUUGAACGAAGCUUUGCAAUGUGUGGUCAGGACUUGAUAUCCGAUGAUGCUACAGCUGAAGUAGAUCUUUUUCAGAUAAUUACCUCAGGUCUGUGCGACUUGACUAGAAAUUGUUGUACGGAUCAAUUGAAUAGUAGAAAAGCACCUUCAAUGGAGGGUAAUGUCUUUCUGCAAUCACGGCAUUUCGUUCCUGCAUUCUGGACUUCCCAUGCUCUAGGAUUCUAGAGAAGUGACAGUUACCUAUAUCUUUCAAUGGAGUUUUUGCACUGGCCAACAUUGCAGUAUAAAGAAAUUUGUUUACUCUUAUCAACUUAUUUUGGACGGACUGAUGAUGAGCAGUGAAUCCAAGCUUUUCCUAACAGCUAUAUGGAUCCAAGUUCGCAGGAUGAUAAGGCAGAUGAUUUACUAGCAUGCACAAACUUGCUGUAUUACGAGUCUUUUCUGUUCUUCCAAAUCUGUGCAUGCUUUAGCCUCUUGCACGACUUUGCUCUCAUCGUACCAUUUUUCCUUGUGGAAGAGGGUUGUAUGGUCAUCUCAUAGUAUUGGAAGCAAGUUGUUUAAAAUUAGUUUGUUACUACUAUUUAGUUAUAUUUCCUUGUACAAAAUAAGUGUUCUAAUUAGGUCUCUCAGGUCCACUUUCGGUGUCUCUUCCUACGAUGUUAUUGGUUAGCAUAUCAAAGAAAGAAAGGUGAUUGGGUGAGACACUUCAUGAGAAAGGUGAUUCGGUGGGACGUUUCAUGAGAAAGGUGAUUCGGUGAGACACUUCAUGCCAUGGGCCAAAAAGAACAUGUAAUGUACCUUUCAGGAUUAGUCAUUUUCAAAAAGAAAAUGUUUUAUUAA